GCUCGUCUGCCCUGCAUUCAGCGCCUGCCCGCGCCUCGUGGCUGGCGGAGGCCGGGCCCCCCACUGCUGGCGCCCCUUCAUGGGUUCCGGGCCUGAGGAGGUGGGCGCUGGCCUGGUAGCUGGGAACAAGCCUCUGAGGAGCCCCGGUUGGGGGCGCCGAGCGAACUGGGGCAGGUUUGGCUCGCAGACCCCAGGGGUCGGCCUGGCUCCGAAGCCCAGGCAUGGGCCCUGGUCUCUCUGCCCAACUGGCGCACUGUGUCACUUCUAACAGCUUCGUCCUGGCACAAGCACUGCUGCGAGGUUUGACGACGUCCCUACUGCUCUAUCCAGCAUCAGUCUCUGAGAUCUGAAGAUAUUUUGUACAUAUUCCUCGGAAAACGCGACAAGACUGCAUGCUUCAAACACAAUUUGCCACGUGUUUGUUCAUAUUUGUCGUAGAGCAAUCCGAUAACUGCAACCGAAAACAAACUGCUUAGUCCGCGAGUCGCUCUGGUUUUCCUGUUUGUAAUUCGGGUACAUUCCCUGCAUGAUGCGGGCCUUGAUCUGUGACUGAUGUGGAGGCUCUCUAUAUGCCCUUGCAGUAUCUUCCUCAAGAGCUGGUGGUGGCCUACCCGGCCAAAUGGUGGCCUUAGAACAACAAAAACCCAUGUUUCCCCUGUGGAUGGUGCUUUUGGUCUAUAGUAUGAAGUAAAAAAAAAAAAAAAAAAAAAUCAAGGCAAGCCUUGAAGCCUCUUGCUUGUUAUAGAACAAUAACUCUUGACUCCAUGAGAACAAACUAGAGCUAAAUCUGCUUCUGCAUCAAAAGUAUAUCUGGGAGAUAAGGGUCAGGAAAUGAGAUGUAGACAUACAAGAAGAUAAAGCCGAAUCCUGGUUACCUGUUAUAGGUGUUACAUAUGUGAGCAGAGAAGUGCCAGGAAAUGAGAACUAGCCAGGAGUCAUCAUCUUGGUGAUUUCCCAAGGUCCAGAUUUGGUCCUCAACCUUGUGGGAUCAGAAAUUUCAUCUUUUCAGUGUUCCAGUGUUGAUGAAAAAUCAGUGUUGUAGAAAACUGAAUGCUAACUUACUGAUUUCAUUAACUAUUCGCUAGUCUCUAUACUAAGUGCAUUACAUACAUUACUUAAUUUAAUUCUCUCUAUAAUCAUGUGGUGUGUUGUGAUUUUUUUUCUUUCAAUUGGGGGAAAAAUGAUGAAGGAUAUCCCCAAGGUCACACAGUUAGUGUGUAUGUAAGUGGUAAAGUCAAAUAAAGACCAUCUGAUUUCAAAA